rnacentral:rRNA from 1 species
CGCUAUCACUCCUACGGGAGGCAGCAGUGGGGAAUAUUGCACAAUGGGGGAAACCCUGGAUGCAGCCAUGCCGCGUGUGUGAAGAAGGCCUUCGGGUUGUAAAGCACUUUCAGUAGGGAGGAAGGUAGUGUAGUUAACACCUGCAUUAUUUGACGUUACCUACAGAAGAAGCACCGGCUAACUCCGUGCCAGCAGCCGCGGUAAUACGGAGGGUGCGAGCGUUAAUCGGAAUUACUGGGCGUAAAGCGCAUGCAGGCGGCCUGUUAAGUCAGAUGUGAAAGCCCGGGGCUUAACCUCGGAAUUGCAUUUGAAACUGGCGGGCUAGAGUCUUGUAGAGGGGGUAGAAUUUCAGGUGUAGCGGUGAAAAUGCGUAGAGAUCUGAAGGAAUACCAGUGGCGAAGGCGGCCCCCUGGACAAAGACUGACGCUCAGAUGCGAAAGCGUGGGGAGCAAACAGGAUUAGAUACCCUGGUAG